rnacentral:rRNA from 1 species
GACGAAGCCGUAGCGAAAGCGAGUCCGAAAUGGGCGUACAGUCGCUGGGAGUAGACCCGAAAACCCCGGUGAUCUACCCCAUGUCCAGGAUGAAACGAGGGUAAAACCUCGUGGAGGUCCGAACUCACUACAGUUGAAAAUGUAGGGGAUGAGGUGUGGGGUCGGAGUGAAAAGGCUAAUCAAACCGGGAGAUAGCUGGUUCUCGCCGAAAGAUAUUUAGGUAUCGCCUCGGAAAACUCUGUCGAGGAGGUAGAGCACUGGAUGGGCUAGGGGUCUUACCAGAUUACCAAACCCAACCAAACUCCUAAUGCCUCGACAUUUACUCCGGGAGUCAGGCUGUGGGAGCUAAGUUCCAUGGCCAAAAGGGAAAGAGCCCAGACCGCCAGCUAAGGUCCCUAAGUCGUUGCUAAGUGGUAAAGGAUGUGGAAGCACACAGACAACCAGGAGGUUGGCUUAGAAGCAGCCAUCCUUU